GAGUUUGAUCCUGGCUCAGAUUGAACGCUGGCGGCAUGCCUUACACAUGCAAGUCGAACGGCAGCACGGGAGCUUGCUCCUGGUGGCGAGUGGCGAACGGGUGAGUAAUGCAUCGGAACGUAUCCUGGAGUGGGGGAUAACGUAGCGAAAGUUACGCUAAUACCGCAUAUUCUGUGAGCAGGAAAGCGGGGGACCUUCGGGCCUCGCGCUCUUGGAGCGGCCGAUGUCGGAUUAGCUAGUUGGUGAGGUAAAGGCUCACCAAGGCGACGAUCCGUAGCAGGUCUGAGAGGAUGAUCUGCCACACUGGAACUGAGACACGGUCCAGACUCCUACGGGAGGCAGCAGUGGGGAAUUUUGGACAAGUGGGGCAACCCUGAUCCAGCCAUCGCCGCGUGAGUAGAAGGAA
rnacentral:rRNA from 1 species